AAAAAAUAUAUAUGAACAAAAGAGGAAAAAUCUCUAUAGUAUGAACCUAGGCUUAGGGUGCAUUCACAUUUGUCAACAACAAAUUCAGCUCUGCUACAUCUGUAUCUCUAUGUCUAUUGGGAGCUUCCAGGAAUAGCAGAAGGUAGUGACUGCAGACUGAACUCUGAGAGAAGAAUAGAUUCAGAAAAAAAUUGUGGAUUAGAGACGUUCUUUGAAGAUGGGAGCAGUGGAAAUAUGUCUGGCAAGAGUUCAUGCAGAAGCCAUGCAUACUUACAUGAAAAGAUUUCGGGAAC